UACAUGGGGUGCAAACGUUGCUCGGAAUUAUUGGGCGUAAAGCGCGCGUAGGCGGUUACUCAAGUCGGAUGUGAAAGCCCUCGGCUUAACUGAGGAAGUGCACCCGAAACUGAGUAGCUAGAGUACUAAAAGAGGGUCGCGGAAUUCCCGGUGUAGAGGUGAAAUUCGUAGAUAUCGGGAGGAACACCGGUGGCGAAGGCGGCGACCUGGGUAGAUACUGACGCUGAGGCGCGAAAAGCGUGGGGGAGCGAACCGG
rnacentral:rRNA from 1 species